AUACGUAGGGAGCGAGCGUUGUCCGGAAUUACUGGGCGUAAAGGGCGCGUAGGCGGCGCUUCAAGUCGUCUGUCAAAUGGGAGGGCUUAACCCUUUUUCGCAGACGAAACUGGAGAGCUUGAGAAGCAGAGAGGCAAACAGAAUUCCUGGUGUAGCGGUGAAAUGCGUAGAUAUCAGGAAGAAUACCAGUGGCGAAGGCGGUUUGCUGGCUGCAUACUGACGCUGAGGCGCGAAAGCCAGGGGAGCAAACGGGAUUAGAUACCCCGGUAGUCCUGGCAGUAAACGAUGUAUGCUGGGUGUGAGACUAGCGAUAGUUUCGUGCCGAAGUUAACGCGAUAAGCAUACCGCCUGGGGAGUACGGUCGCAAGAUUGAAACUUAAAGGAAUUGACGGG
rnacentral:rRNA from 1 species